CAGGAAAUAGUUUAUUUAAAAUAUUAAUUUUGGAGAUUAAAGAUAGGCAUUAAGUUUUUUCCUGA
rnacentral:tRNA from 1 species